GUCUUUUUAAAACAUCUAGCCAUUUAGUUACAUUUUCAGCAUAUCAAAAUACAUUUAUUUUUUUCCGUAACUGUGUAUUUAGGGGAAGAGAAGAUUUCUUAUAAUUGAAAUCAUUGAAGGCUAAAUUUUGAUUCCCUGGGCACAUUCUCUUAACUGUGGCAGAGGUACCUGUCAUGUGAUUUACACAGUGAAUGGCCCUGCUUUUGGAGCAAGUUAAUGUUAUAAUAUCCCCAUUUAUAUUCAGAACAGUCAACACUUUUGAGCUCUCAGAAUAAUAAAAGCACCUGCAUUUAAUAUACAUGGAAGAAUGGAAAGGCAAAUAGCAGAUAAGGCACAAUCAGACAUCUCCAAAUUUUAGUGAAAUCUGCUCGACACUUCUGAAUGCCUCUACGUCUCCAUGAUGGAUCAGAAAUAUGCAUAUCUCUACAAGGAUAGCAUGGAAGAAAAGAACUGUCUCUAGGGGCACACAGGUGGCUGCUCUGUGGACAUGUGCCAUCCGAACACGUGAGUAGUGUGGCUCCCAGUGCACUCACUGCCUCCCCUCAUUCAUCCCCACUCAAGAAAUCCUGCUGGGAUGUAAGCGAGUGCUUGGCUUUACCAGAAUCACUUUGAAUCUAUUUUAAUUUAUACCAAAAGGCAAAAGAGAAACCAAUUAUGAAUUUUAGUGUUUUUUCUUUUCUUUUUUCAAUAGUAAUGAAAUACUUGUCAUUUACUUCACAGCCGGUCAAGACAACUAAGUAUGCCUUGAUGUGAGAUUUUUUUGAACUGAUGUUUGAAAAUUUGAUUUCAAACCUCUGGGAAGAAUUUUGUUGUUUGUGUAACUUUGAAGGAAGAAGUAAAUGGUCAUAGUCGAGAAUGCAAAAUGGCAAUACUAUGGGAGAGGACCUCAUGGAAAUACUAAUUGCAGUGAAGCCUACAUUGAUACUUGUUAGGUUCCAGACAACAUAAGCUAAUUCUGGCUAGAAUUUAUUGAUGAAGACUCAGAUCUUGAAAUCUGAAUUUAAAACAACCAGCUUUUGGAUGAGCCAGACCAAGGACCCCCAGGGACCUUAGAAGCAGAAGAUAAUGGACCUUUUCUAUAGAACAUUGGACUCUUUGUUUCUCACCUUUAGUGGCCUGAUGUCAAAUGGGUCAUCUUAGUCAAGAAGGCAGGCAGGACCAUGUAUUACAAGCCUAAUUGCUGGGGAUUUUUCUGUAUCUGAAGCAAUUAUAGGCAAAGGGAAUGUUUAGAAGUAAUAAAAUUUUAAGACUUUAAGGGUGAAUGACAGAUAAACUACACAUAUUUAAAGUAUAUAAUUUGGUAUAUUUUGACAUGUGUGUAUACACACCAGGAAACUAUCACCAUAAUGAAGAAAAUGAAGAUAUCCAUAUCUCUGCUGGUUUCCUUUCGUCCUUUUUUCUUUCUUCUCUCUCAGUCCUGUGUCCCUCUUCCUGUACCCAGGCAUCAGCUGACCUGCUUCUGUCAUUGUGGAUUAGUUUGCACUUUCUAGAAUUUUACUUAAAUGGGAUCAUAAGUUCUUUUCUGACUUUUUUCAUUCAGUGUAAUUAUUUUGAGACUUAUCCAUGCUGUAGUAUUUAUCAGUACCUUAUUGCUUUUUAUGGGUGAUUAAUGUUCCAUUGGCUGGCUAUACUAUAGUUUAUUCAUUAAGCUGUUGAUGACAUUAGGGUUCUAGUUUGAGGCUAUUACUGAUAAAGUUGGUAUGAAUAUUUACAUGCAAGUGUUUUCUUUUAGACAUUUGUUUUCAUUUCUCUUGAGUAAAACCUAGGAGUAGAAUGGCCUGGUAAUCCUGUAGGUGGGUGUUUUACUUUUUCAUCAACUGCCAAGAAGUUUUUCAAAGUGGUUGUAUAAUUUUCUAUUCCUACUGGCAACAUGUGAGAGUUCUGGUUCUCUAUCAUCACUAGCACUUGGUUAUAUCCAGGACUUACUUUUUUUUUAUUAAGUUUAUUGGUACAUUUUAGGUAUACAAUACAGUUACUUUCACCAUUGGUAUCUUGUACCUUUACAUGAUAUAUAUUGGUUCUUAUUUUUUCCCCCUUCUCCUGCCAUCCCUUCAACCCCUCCACCCUUCCCU